CCCUUAGAUGUCCUGGGCCGCACGCGCGCUACACUGACGGAGCCAGCGAGCGUGUCCUUCGCCGAAAGGUGCGGGUAAUCUUGGCAGCCUCCGUCGUGCUGAGGAUAGAUGGUUGCAAUUAUUGAUCUUGAACGAGGAAUUCCUAGUAAGCGCGAGCCACCAGCUCGCGUUGAUUACGUCCCUGCCCUUUGUACACACCGCCCGUCGCUACUACCGAUUGGAUGGCUUAAUGAGAGCUCUGGAUCUCUGCCGGCGCGGUCCUCACGGGUCGCGUUGGAUGGGGAGAAGUUGCUCAAAUUGAGUCUUCUAGAGGAAGUAAAAGUCGUAACA
rnacentral:rRNA from 1 species